rnacentral:rRNA from 1 species
GAUGAACGCUGGCGGCGUGCCUAAUACAUGCAAGUCGAGCGAACGGGCGAGAAGCUUGCUUCUCUGAUGUUAGCGGCGGACGGGUGAGUAACACGUGGAUAACCUACCUAUAAGACUGGGAUAACUUCGGGAAACCGGAGCUAAUACCGGAUAAUAUUAUGAACCGCAUGGUUCAAAAGUGAAAGACGGUCUUGCUGUCACUUAUAGAUGGAUCCGCGCUGCAUUAGCUAGUUGGUAAGGUAACGGCUUACCAAGGCAACGAUGCAUAGCCGACCUGAGAGGGUGAUCGGCCACACUGGAACUGAGACACGGUCCAGACUCCUACGGGAGGCAGCAGUAGGGAAUCUUCCGCAAUGGGCGAAAGCCUGACGGAGCAACGCCGCGUGAGUGAUGAAGGUCUUCGGAUCGUAAAACUCUGUUAUUAGGGAAGAACAUAUGUGUAAGUAACUGUGCACAUCUUGACGGUACCUAAUCAGAAAGCCACGGCUAACUACGUG